GUGCUCAUUUUGGCAGCACAUAUACUAAAACUGGAACCAUACAGAGAAGAUUAGCAUGGCCCCUGUGCAAGGAUGACAUGCAAAUUCGUGAAGCGUUCCAUAUUUUU
ensembl:snRNA U6 U6 spliceosomal RNA